rnacentral:rRNA from 1 species
GACGAACGCUGGCGGCGUGCUUAACACAUGCAAGUCGAGCGGUAAGGCCCUUUCGGGGGUACACGAGCGGCGAACGGGUGAGUAACACGUGGGUGACCUGCCCUCAGCUCUGGGAUAAGCCUGGGAAACCGGGUCUAAUACUGGAUAUGACUCCAUGACGCAUGUUGUGGGGUGGAAAGCCUUGUGCGGCUGAGGAUGGGCCCGCGGCCUAUCAGCUUGUUGGUGGGGUGANGGCCUACCAAGGCGACGACGGGUAGCCGGCCUGAGAGGGCGACCGGCCACGCUGGGACUGAGACACGGCCCAGACUCCUACGGGAGGCAGCAGUGGGGAAUCUUGCGCAAUGGGCGAAAGCCUGACGCAGCGACGCCGCGUGAGGGAUGACGG